GGCUUGGUGACUCUGCCGCUUGCUCAGUCCGGACUGCUGUUGGAAGCUUGCCCACUUGGCGACUUUGAAAGGUCUCACCCUUUCCCUGCCUUUGCCCUUACAUUUGAAUACACAUAUGGAUUCCAAUGCUGCUUCACUAAGUUUUACCUAUAAGAUGUAUAUUUAAUCAGGGAAAACUCUUGUUCUCUCUGAAGAUAAACAGAUUUACUGAGCUGUGGGAUUGGGCUACGUCUUGAUUGAAGGCAGAGAGCAGAUGUGGAGUAUGGAUUUGGCCUCAUUCUUACAAAAUGUGUGGCAGUGUGUUUGAUCUUCAGCUUUGAGUUUUACAGGGUGCUGAUUCAUGGCAUCAAGAAUCACAGACGAUUUGAUGCUGCAUAGCCCCUCUGGCCCAGCAUGGGUAAAGAGUGUUGACUCCACCCAGUCCAGCUCCUCUACCUCCCCACCCGCCCGUGGCAUCUCAGAAUGGGAAGGAAGCUGGGAACUUCCUUGUCAAGUUCAAGGAAGUAAAGACCUCACAGCAAACCAAGGGAAGCCAUACAGGCAUUCUGCCUCCUGCCUUCCAGGUUAGAGGAGGGGGAAGAGCCUUCAACUGUUAAGUGAAGACAGACCUGUCCUCAUAGUGAAGGAAGCGGUGACAGAAGAAUCAAGAGAGACCAACCAGAAACAUACAAGACCCACAAUUCUAGCAAAGACAAAUCCCACAGCAGUCCUAGAAGAUUGGACAUGGUCACAUACAUAUUAGUCUGAAGACCUCACUGGUUUAACUUUCACCUGAGUAUUUAGCAUAUUUGACAGGAGGAGCCCCUGUGACCCUCACGAUGACUGGCCAGGCCAGACACACACUUUCACCCUUACAGCAAUGAACAUUUGUCAACACUUACAUAGGGGAAUUGGAUGUGGAUCCCAAAGCAUGCUGGGAAGUGCUCCACCAUUCAGUUACAUUCCUAGCUGCCAGCAGAGACGGGUUGCCUUGUGAUGGGGAGAUGGCUAGAGCAUCAAGCUCCCUAGUAACCAUAACAACUCGCCGCCUGCCUGCCCUUGUGACUUCUUUAAGGCUUUUCUCUCCAGACCUUUCCUUUGACGCUGCUCCCCAGCCUGCAGAACAGCAGCAUCUGAGACCAACUCAGUCUUCACAUGAACAGACUCUAAUUUCCAAGAGAAGAUAUCAGUUGAAAUUCACAAAGACUGGAGAAAACAUUUUUGUUUGCCUGUCUCCUGUAUCAUGGACCAGCCUACCAGAUGCUUGCUUACGCAAGCUGAAAGCAAAACAGGCUCCCGGGUCAGAUCACCUGCCUGCUGUCAGUCAUAUCAUAUUUAACACGCUCUUCCACCGGAAGUUUGACAUUCCAUAGGAAUCACAAGGGUGGCAUGGCUGGCACUGUCGGCUGUCUACCUGGCGUCUGUUCUGUGUUAGCCCCACUCUGUAGAACCCUGACAUAAUUGAAAGCAGAAGUGCAUCCUGGUGUCAACGAAGACAGAAGUGUACCCAUUUAAAAGCCGCCUUUCCUAGUUUCUUGCACCCAUGUGUAUUCUUGUACAUUCUGAUAAUUAAAAACCAAAUAUAAUGUCUUGCGUGGGUCUCGAGGAAGGCUUGCUAAUGGGGGUUGAUAUAGUGA